UACGGAGGGUGCGAGCGUUGUCCGGAAUCACUGGGCGUAAAGGGCGCGUAGGCGGCAGGCCAAGCGUGCGGUGAAAGUCCGGGGCUCAACCCCGGAUCUGCCGUGCGGACUGGUUUGCUAGAGCACUGUAGAGGCGAGUGGAAUUCCGGGUGUAGCGGUGGAAUGCGUAGAGAUCCGGAAGAACACCGGGGGCGAAGGCGGCUCGCUGGGCAGUGGCUGACGCUGAGGCGCGACAGCGUGGGGAGCAAACAG
rnacentral:rRNA from 1 species